UGCCAUCCGCCGCGGUAAUACGGAGGGGGUCAGCGUUGUUCGGAAUUACUGGGCGUAAAGCGCACGUAGGCGGAUUAGUCAGUCAAGGGUGAAAUCCCAGGGCUCAACCCCGGAAGUGCAUUGGAAACUGGCGAACUUGAGUACGGGAGAGGAAAGUGGAAUUCCGAGUGUAGGGGUGAAAUCCGUAGAUAUUCGGAGGAACACCAGUGGCGAAGGCGGCUUUCUGGACCGAUACUGACGCUGAGACGCGAAAGCGUGGGGAGCAAACAGGAUUAGAUA
rnacentral:rRNA from 1 species